rnacentral:rRNA from 1 species
GCUGCAACUCGCCUGUAUGAAGUCGGAAUUGCUAGUAAUCGUGGAUCAGCAUGCCACGGUGAAUACGUUCCCGGGCCUUGUACACACCGCCCGUCACACCAUGAGAGCCGGGAACACCCGAAGUCCGUAGUCUAACCUAUAUGGAGGACGCGGCCGAAGGUGGGUUUGGUAAUUGGGGUGAAGUCGUAACAAGGUACC